rnacentral:tRNA from 1 species
GAUUGGGGAGCUUGUAAAUAGCUCCUAACUUUUAAUUAGGCGAUAGCACUUAGUGCUCCCGGUCA